rnacentral:lncRNA from 1 species
CGUUAAGAGAGUGAAGAAACUUGGCUCCAAAUUGGACAAGUUUCUGCAAGAACUGGUCGACGAGCACAGAAGAAACAGGGGAAAAACAGAGUUCAAGAACACAAUGAUCACUCAUUUGCUUACCCUUCAAGAAUCGCAACCUGAGUACUACACUGACCAGAUCAUCAAAGGACUCGUAAUGGUUCGUUAAUUCUUUUACAUUAUUUCCUUGUUUUCAACACGUUAUUAGAAAGAAAAAAAUCAAGAUUGAAUCGUUUUCGUUAUAUGUAGGUGAUGAUGGAUGCGGGGACCGACACGACCGCACUGACAUUGGAAUGGGCCAUGGCUAACCUUCUAAAUCAUCCAGAUGUUCUAGCGAAAGCCAAGACGGAGUUAAACAACGUCGUUUCAAAAAGAGGGCGCUUGAUGGAGGAAUCUGAUACGAGCACUUGCACAUAUCUCAACAAUGUGAUUUCAGAGACUCUUCGUCUCUAUCCUGCUGGGCCAAUGCUGGUCCCACACGCGUCGUCGGUUGACUGCAAAGUUGCUGGGUAUGAGAUUCCACGUGGCACAUGGCUGUUCGUUAACGCGUGGGCUAUUCAGAGAGAUCCAAAAGUAUGGGAUGAGCCUGAGGCCUUUAAGCCGGAAAGGUUCGACAGUGAGGAGUGGAAGACCACCCAACAUGGUAAUUUUUUACCAUUCGGAAUAGGUAGAAGAGCGUGUCCUGGAAUGGGGCUGGCACAAAUUGUUUUGAGCUCAGCUUUAGGGUCAUUGAUCCAAUGUUUUGACUGGGAGAGAGAUGAAGACGUGGCAGUUGACAUGUCGGAAGGAACGGGUCUUAGUAUGCCUAAAGCUGUGCCUUUAGUUGCAAAAUGCAAGUCUUCUCCUAUCCUAGACAACGUUGUCAUUUAGUUUCAUGUAUUUUAUCAGCUUUAAUUAACGUUGCUAAUAAGAACAUAAUGAUUUCCUCGUUCUUGAUUUCUUUAGAUCUUUUCUCUGUCCCUCUCUUUCGUCUUUGUUUCCCUCAGCAUCUCCUACACUCAUUUACAUCCUUUGAGAUCAGAUCCAACGGUUGAAAGAAUGAUAAAUCCUCAUCAAUUUCCACUUCUCCCUGUGAACAAAAAACAACACAGCUUAGUCUAACCAGACCAAAACACCGUGUAGGAAUAUACAAGAGAUAUGAAAAAAGUAACUAUACAGGUGCAGUGCAUCAAGCAUAUUCUGAAAGGCUUUCUACCUUAAGCCCUCAAAAUAUAAUAAUACAAUUUUCACGGUCUCUAUUUUCUAAAAAUAGUUAGUAACAUAGUGUUUUUGUUUACUGUUUUAUUCAUUUAACCCAAAUUCAAUCCUCUAAAUUGAGUGUAGAUAUAUCUUUUUUAAAAGGAUUAUUUUAUUUUAUUGUCAAUUUUCCAAAUGUUAAUAGAAAAAUGUUUCGUACUAGGUGUCUUGUCCGCGUACGUGGAUCACAUAAUCAAUUUAUAAAUAUUUACUAAUGCAAAGGAAAUAUGAAAUUGCAUCCAUCUCAUCCUAAAUGCCUAAAACAUUAGACCUGAAAAUCAUAGAGAUAAAAAGCAAAAAACAAAAACUAUUAUAUUGAUAUAUCUUAGCAACUGCUGUUUAUUUUCUUUUCAGUUACAUGCAAGACUAGGUGAUUUUUCCGUGCUCAUGCACGGGUAUAAAUAUUUCUAAAGUAAAUAUACUACAAUAAUUGAUUGCUAUUUACUUUUAAUUUUAAAUUUAUUUAUAAUUUGUAUGCAUCAUUUAUAUUAAUAAUAUUAUAUUACUUUGAUUAUACAUAUGAUUUAUAUAUGUUAUAUCUAAUCGGUUUUGUUGUUUUUACAACCGAUUUAGUUAUCACUUGGAUAAAUUGGAUUGCAUCUUUGAAUUCAAUAAUAAUAUUUUUUAUUCUAAAUCUAUUACAAUUUUGAUUAAUUUAGGUGGUUGUUGUCAUAGAUAUGCAAAUAUAUUUUACGAAAAUUAUGUAUAACUUAAGAUAUAUUAUGCUUAGAAUGAAGUAAAAAAUAAACUAAAGUGUCUGAUUCCAAACUACAUAAAUUAAUAUAACGAUAAUAUUCUGAAGUCUCAUGCAUAUAUAUAAAUUUUACAAAAGAACUAAAUUGUAACGGUUGGUUAAUAUUUUAUUUUUAUUUUUAAUAUAUUUGAGUUGUCCUAUGAUUUAUAUUUAUAAAAUAAUUUACUGUUCUUAUAAAAUUAUAUAUUCUUAUCGUAGUUAAAUCUAUGAUUUUAGAUAUAAGUUGCAUUAGCUAGCGUUUGCGGUUGCGGGAGGACAAUUUUUUUUUUAAACCAUAUAAAUACAAAAAUAAAAAUAUUCAAUAAAUUUUUUUAAUGGAAUUAUAAAAAUACUAAAAUAUAUCUAUUAUAUUUUAAUUAAUAUUAUAAAAUUUUAAAAUAAAAAUAUUUUCUAUAAUUUUAAAAAUUAAAAACUAUAACUUACUAAAUAUAAUUUUCAUAUUUAUUAUAAUAUUAUGAUUUUUGAUAUUUUUAUAAUUAUAUAAAAUGUAAAUAUUGUUAAUUUAUUAUUUAACCGCUGAUGUAUUUGGUAGUUAAUCAGUCAUAAGUAUACCGCAAACGUACAAAUUUCUAACCGCAUAACCAGUCGUACAAAUUUCUUAAAACCGCUAGAAACCGCAACCAUCCGCAUCCGCAAACACCCGCAGCCGCAACCGCAACCGCUGCGUUUGAACCAGUCAGACCUUAAUAAAGUGAAAAUUCAAAAGCAAUGGAGCAUUGGGUGAAAAUUGAUUUGUUUUUCACUGCGACUAAUGGCUUCGAUGAUCAUACGAAUUAAAAAAAAUACUUCGGUAAUUUAGGACUAGGGGCAUCUGUGGGAUUAUGAAAUGUCCAACAGUGGUUUCCUAUAUACCUAAUUAAAUUUAGUUUUAUAGGUGUGUAGUGCAAAUUCCAUUUUUUUAAUUGACCGAUCCCUGUGCUACAAAAAACAAUUAAUAUAAAAAAUAUAAGAAACGUGGUGCACAGCCUGGCUUAUGCAAAACACAACGUGGGCUGCUCACGUUCUACAUCUUUUGACUUUGGACUCCAUAAAAGCUCCAGGUAGAUGUGCACACAAAGCUACAAAAUCAGAAAAAAGCGACAAGAUGUUUACUUUGCUUUCGUUCGCUCUGGUCGUCGGAUUCAUUGCAGCGGCUUUUUAUCUUUUUCGAUCAAAGCUGAAUGUUCCACCAAGUCCGAUAGGUUUCCCGGUGAUCGGACACCUCCACCUGCUCAAAGAUCCAGUUCACCGUUGCCUGCAUGACCUCUCUCGAAACCUCGGUCCAGUGUUUUCGCUCAAGCUAGGCUCUUGUCGAGCCGUGGUCGUCACGUCAGCUUCCGCAGCGGAGGAGUUUUUAUCUCACGAAAAUGAUGUUGUUUUCGCAAACAGGCCUAUCAGUACUUUGGGUAAAUACGUUGCUUACAACAACUCUAUAGUCAGCGUAUCUCCCUACGGAGACCACUGGCGAAACCUCCGCCGUAUCUGCACCGUGGAGAUCUUCUCCGCCGCUCGUCUCAAAGAAUCGCUCGAGAUCCGGAGAGACGAAGUGAGGUCUCUCGUUCAGACGAUCCACAAGGCGACGACAUCAGGAGGAGGAGACAACUCUGUCCGUGUGGAGCUACGACCGUUGCUCUCUGGGUUUACUUUGAACGUCCUUAUGAGAACGGUCGCUGGAAAAAGAUACUACGGCGAGGAUAACGCGGAAGCAAAGGAAGUGCGGGAGCUGAUAAGCGAAACGUUCGAGCUCGCAGGGUGUACUUAUGCUGGUGACUUUCUUCCGAUUCUGAAGCUGUUCGAUUACAAUGGAUACGUUACGAGAGUGAAGACACUUGGCUCCAAAUUGGACAAGUUUCUGCAAGAACUGGUGGACGAGCACAGAGGAAACAGAGGAAAAACAGAGUUCAAGAACACAGUGAUCACUCAUUUGCUUACUCUUCAAGACUCGCAACCUGAGUACUACACUGACGAGAUCAUCAAAGGACUCGUAAUGGUAAGUUAAUUACUAUAUAUUUCUUUGGUUUCAACUCAAAAAAUAAAUC